AUCUAUCUAUCUAUCUAUCUAUCUAUCUAUAUUGCCAUACCACACUGUCUUGGUUGUAUCUUUAUACUUAAAUAUGGAAAUCAGUCUUAUUCACUGGCUAGGAUCUCUAACACAAUGUUGAACAAGAAUGUCAACAGCAAAUAUCCCUGACUCAUUCCCUAUCUUAGAGGUGCUUUGAAGUCUCGCUAAUCAGAGUCAUGGUUAUGAAUAUCAGAACUUGAUAUUGAAGAAGCAUAAAAGUGCUCAUCAAAGAACUAGGUGAUGGAAAUGGCAGGAAGCAGCAUAAGUGGAUGCUUCUGUGAGA